AGAGUUUGAUCCUGGCUCAGAACGAACGCUGGCGGCGCGUCUUAAGCAUGCAAGUCGAACGGCAAGGCAGGUGCUUGCACCUGCCCUAGAGUGGCGGACUGGUGAGUAACACGUGGGUGACAUGCCUUUUAGUUGGGGAUAGCUACUAGAAAUAGUAGAUAAUAUCGAAUGUGAUCAAUAUUUAUAGAUGAUGUUGAGGAAAGGAGCUAAGGCUUCGCUAAAGAUUGGCCCGCGGCCCAUUAGCUAGUUGGUAGGGUAAAGGCUUACCAAGGCGAUGAUGGGUAUCCGGCCUGAGAGGGUGAUCGGACACAUUGGGACUGAGAUACGGCCCAGACUCCUACGGGAGGCAGCAGCUAAGAAUAUUCCACAAUGGACGAAAGUCUGAUGGAGCGACGCCGCGUGGAUGAUGAAGGCCGAAAGGUUGUAAAAUCCUUUUACACUGGAGGAAUAAGCAGAGUAGGGAAUGACUCUGUGAUGACUGUACAGUUUGAAUAAGCAACGGCUAAUUACGUGCCAGCAGCCGCGGCAACACGUAAGUUGCGAGCGUUGUUCGGAAUUAUUGGGCGUAAAGGGCAUGUAGGCGGAUUUGCAAGCUUGAUGUGAAAUCCCGCAGCUUAACUGCGGAACUGCAUUGAGAACUGCAAGACUAGAGUUACUGAGGGGAAACUAGAAUUCCAAGUGUAGGGGUGAAAUCUGUAGAUAUUUGGAAGAAUACCAAUGGCGAAGGCAAGUUUCUGGCAGAUAACUGACGCUGAGGUGCGAAGGUGCGGGGAGCAAACAGGAUUAGAUACCCUGGUAGUCCGCACAGUAAACGAUGUACACUAGGUGUUUGACCAUGAGGUUGAGUGCCAUAGCUAACGCAAUAAGUGUACCGCCUGGGAAGUAUGCCCGCAAGGGUGAAACUCAAAGGAAUUGACGGGGGCCCGCACAAGCGGUGGAGCAUGUGGUUUAAUUCGAUGGUACGCGAGGAACCUUACCUGGGUUUGACAUAUACUGGAAUGUUAUAGAGAUAUAGCAGCGUAGCAAUACGCCGGUAUACAGGUGCUGCAUGGCUGUCGUCAGCUCGUGCCGUGAGGUGUUGGGUUAAGUCCCGCAACGAGCGCAACCCCUACUGUCAGUUGCUAACAGAUAAUGCUGAGGACUCUGGCGGAACUGCCGGUGACAAACCGNCGGAAGGUGGGGAGGACGUCAAGUCAUCAUGGCCCUUAUGUCCAGGGCUACACACGUGCUACAAUGGUAGAAACAAAGCGAUGCUACACUGCAAAGUCACGCAAAACGCAAAAAAGCUAUCGUAGUUCGGAUUGGAGUCUGAAACUCGACUCCACGAAGUUGGAAUCGCUAGUAAUCGCGCAUCAGCACGGCGCGGCGAAUAAAAUCCCGGGCCUUGCACUCUCCGCC
rnacentral:rRNA from 1 species